rnacentral:lncRNA from 1 species
CGCACUCCGUCCGUUCCCGACGAUUUUUCCUUUUUUUUUUCAGUUGUAAUUUCCGGCCGCAGAUAUUCGUCCCUCUCCAAUCUUCCGCCUACAUUCGUUGACCGGAGGGCGAACCUGUUUCCUGGUCUCCAGAAUUUUCGAAAUAUACAAUUUCUGCCGAUUCGUGUUUUUGGUCGCCUGCCUCCGCUUUCCCCCAAAUGGCCACCGCCGCCACCAUCGCAGGCCCCGCGGCCGUCGGGACUGUAUGGCUGAAGGGGAGUGAGGUAUGAGAAGGAUUUUAGUAAGGUCUUAUUUUGGAUUUCCCGUUUUUUUUGGUUUUCUUCCACCCACUGUUGAGAUAAUGGUGAAGCUAGACCAAUUUUUACUUUUAUUUUUUGUGCAAAUUACAGAGGAUUGUGAUGUUGUCACUAUUAUAGGAUUCAAUUUAAUACGGAGGAAGUAUUGGCACCAAUUAAUUUUGUUUACUAUCAAAAGUUUUG